AGCUGUGUGGCCUAAGGGCGAAGGUGUUUGAUGGCAGCUCAGAAGAUUGCAGGUUUGAGUCCUGCCACAGCUG
rnacentral:tRNA from 1 species